rnacentral:rRNA from 2 species
UGGGGAAUAUUGCACAAUGGAGGGAACUCUGAUGCAGCGACGCCGCGUGAACGAAGAAGGCUUUCGAGUCGUAAAGUUCUUUUAUAUGGGAAGAUAAUGACGGUACCAUAAGAAAAAGCCCCGGCUAACUACGUGCCAGCAGCCGCGGUAAUACGUAGGGGGCUAGCGUUGUCCGGAAUCACUGGGCGUAAAGGGUUCGCAGGCGGAAAUGCAAGUCAGGUGUAAAAUGCAGUAGCUUAACUACUGUAAGCAUUUGAAACUGCAUAUCUUGAGAAGAGUAGAGGUAAGUGGAAUUUUUAGUGUAGCGGUGAAAUGCGUAGAUAUUAAAAAGAAUACCGGUGGCGAAGGCGACUUACUGGGCUCAUUCUGACGCUGAGGAACGAAAGCGUGGGUAGCAAACAGG